UACCCAGACCCUCCGCUACGUCAGCAGGGAGGAAACGGCCCUCUCCCGUGUUCAUCACACUGGGCAUGCUCUCCUCAGGAGACUGGCCACAAAAAGGAUCAUCCAGUCUGGUCCUGGAAGCAAGAGAAAAUGUGGUGAGACAAAAGAAAGAACUACCGCCAAGGAGGGUCACCUGAGAGAAGAGGGACCUCACAAGUGCUGUGGCUUCUUGAUCAGUAUCCUCUCUGUGUGCCAUUUCAACUCAGACCAAAAAGACCAAGAAGUAUUCUAGGAAAAUCAAGACUUUCUUGAGGCCAAGCUGUCGUUACUCACCUGCUAAUAGUGCAUCUCUGCAAAAGCCAGAAAUCAUCUUUGCUGCAAGUACAUCUUCAAUGACACCAGUACCUCCCAGAUGCACAGAAGUCAUGUCCAGAGACUGGCUAGCUGCUGGGCCUAAGAUGGGAGCAGGACCUGAAGAGAUAAAUGAGCCAGCGCACUUUACCC